rnacentral:rRNA from 1 species
CGUGUAGGCGGCUUUCCAAGUCCGAUGUGAAAGCUCGGGGCUCAACCCCGAGUCUGCAUUGGAAACUGGUAGGCUUGAGUCCGGAAGAGGAGACUGGAAUUCCUGGUGUAGCGGUGAAAUGCGCAGAUAUCAGGAAGAACACCGGUGGCGAAGGCGGGUCUCUGGGACGGUACUGACGCUGAGACGCGAAAGCGUGGGGAGCAAACA